rnacentral:rRNA from 1 species
CUCUUAGAUGUUCUGGGCUGCACGCGCGCUACACUGAUGCACUCAACGAGUUUACGCCCUUGCCCGAUAGGGUUGGCUAAUCUUUUCAAAAUGCAUCGUGAUGGGGAUACACUAUUGCAAUUAUUAAUCUUCAACGAGGAAUUCCUAGUAAGCGCGAGUCAUCAGCACGUGCUGAUUACGUCCCUGCCCUUUGUACACACCGCCCGUCGCUCCUACCGAUUGAGUGCUCCGGUGAAUUAUUCGGACUGCAGCAAUGUUUGGAUCCCGAACGUUGCAGCGGAAAGUUUAGUGAACCUUAUCACUUAGAGGAAGGAGAAGUCGUAACA